GACAGAGGCCUCGAGCGUUAGGCGGAAUCACUGGGCUUAAAGCGUGUGUAGGCGGGCCCGUAAGUGUCUUGUUAAAUCCCACGGCUCAACCGUGGAACUGCUGGGCAUACUGCGGGUCUUGGGCCGACUAGGGGCAGCCGGAACAAGCGGUGGAGCGGUGAAAUGCGUAGAUAUCGCUUGGAACGCCGAAGGUGAAAACAGGCUGCUGGGGUUGCGCCGACGCUGAGACACGAAAGCCAGGGGAGCAAACGGG
rnacentral:rRNA from 1 species